rnacentral:lncRNA from 1 species
CAUAAAACAAUAUACGAAAGCAAUAACAUUAUCAUCAUCAUGAAGUCAUAUGAACUGUAUAACAUAGUACUUAUCACGCCUUUUAUAAUUCAAUUAUUACACAACAUAUUUUUCCUCUUUUACCAGCCUACUAGUAUCCAUGGAGAUCCAUAGGGGUCCCACUACCCGUGAACCCUUAACACUUGUAAUCAGAUUCCAGGGCCG